rnacentral:rRNA from 1 species
UCAGUUCGGAUUGUAGGCUGCAACUCGCCUACAUGAAGUUGGAAUCGCUAGUAAUCGCGAAUCAGAAUGUCGCGGUGAAUACGUUCCCGGGUCUUGUACACACCGCCCGUCACACCACGAGAGUUUACAACACCCGAAGUCAGUGGCCUAACCGCAAGGAGGGAGCUGCCUAAGGUGGGGUAGAUGAUUGGGGUGAAGUCGUAACAAGGUAUC